GGAUAUGAAGGAGAUCUAAGUGUGACAUCUGCCACCACACUGAUUGCCAGAGUUGAUUCGGCUGAUCUGGCAGGCUAGUCAGGUGUCCCGUUCCUUCCUCACUGUCCCUUGUGUGUUCAUCCUGAAGCUGCAUGCUUGAUGGAAGAGCACGACCCUCCCUGAUAGAGGCGAACCAGUGUGCAGUCAGGGUACAAGCACAUGUGUGUCCCUGCUGGAACCUCCUGCCUUGGUCUCAAGACAUGCAUGCAAACUCUUGUGCUAGUAUCAACUCUCACACACAAAGUCUAAUUCUUUAAAGAUAAUCACUGGAGUCUCCAUUCUAUUCUU
ensembl:misc_RNA 7SK 7SK RNA